GCUGGGUAGACCUGUUUGUUUUCGGUCGGGUGAGUUUAUAAAAAUCCAGAGGAAAAUUGCAUUUUUUGGAGCACCUUGAGGAGAAAUGUGAAUACACAUAUUUGUUUGUAUUUGUAGUAUUAUGUAAGCGUAUUAUAUCGCAAAUCCGGCGGAGAUGUUGGGGGAGAAUUUACUUUGCGAAGGGUUCUUUGAUAAGUGCUCAAAAACCCAUCCCCGGAAUCAGGCCUGAUACCGGGAGAAGACGUUUCGACUUACUGAACCUAUGUAGGGCUCAGGGGUACAGAUUGGCCAUGCGAUGGUGACGAAAUGGUGACUCUCUUCCGAACGCCAGG